CUGACAACUGACGACUCGUGUCGUUUGUCAUU
rnacentral:sRNA from 1 species